GUUAGCUUUUAGAUUUUAGAAACCUUGAGAGAAGCCCUUCAACACAAGAACAGCUCUACUCCAUCGCCUGUCAUAUAUUAGGAAAUUUGACCUCGUUGGAUCUGAGUCAAAAAGAGAUAAGUCGAAACACAGUAUCAAUCUUGCACACAUUGUCCAGAUGGCUGUUUCAUGGAUCAAGUGGCAUGGCGGUGAUACAAGCAGGCAUUCCCACAGGAUUUCAGCCUGAUCUCCAGAUGAUCACCAGCUCACCUAGCCUUAAACGAAAGGAAUAUAACAGUGGCAACCUUGAUCUUUACUUUGAAGAGAUAGUUGGAUAAUCGCGACGCAAGCCUGGAACACGACCACCCAUCGACAUAUGAUAACAUCCUUUGUUUACUCAGUAAAUGUUUAUUUUGAUAAUAAUUCAAUAAACAGUUGCAACAUG